rnacentral:rRNA from 1 species
AGAGCGAACGCUGGCGGCAUGCUUAACACAUGCAAGUCGCACGGGCACUUCGGUGUCAGUGGCGGACGGGUGAGUAACGCGUAGGUAUCUAUCUUUGGGUGGGGGACAACUGUGGGAAACUACAGCUAAUACCGCAUGAUAACUGAGGUUUAAAGGCGCAAGUCGCCUGAGGAGGAGCCUGCGUACGAUUAGCUAGUUGGUGGGGUAAAGGCCUACCAAGGCGACGAUCGUUAGCUGGUCUGAGAGGAUGAUCAGCCACAUUGGGACUGAGACACGGCCCAAACUCCUACGGGAGGCAGCAGUGGGGAAUAUUGGACAAUGGGCGCAAGCCUGAUCCAGCAAUGCCGCGUGUGUGAAGAAGGUCUUCGGAUUGUAAAGCACUUUCGACGGGGACGAUGAUGACGGUACCCGUAGAAGAGCCCCGGCUAACUUCGCGCCAGCAGCCGC